AGUUGUCCCACCUUUUUUGUUUCCCCCGCCUCCUUGGCCGCGGGAUUCAUCAGCGGGGGUAAUACGGGAGGGGUGAAAGCGUUCUCGGAUUACUGGUGCGUAAAGACCACGCGGGUCCGCUGUCAAGGAUGAAAAAGGUCCCCGGGCUCCACCUGAGAACUGCAUUCAAAGGUGGGGGGUGAUAUUCUUGUAGAGGGGGGUAAAAAUACAGGUGUAGCGGAGAAAGGGUUAAAUAUCUGGAGGAAUACCGUUGGCGAAGGGCCCCCCCUGAACUACUACAGUUUCUCAGGGGCAAAAUCCUUUGGAACCCAAACUAAAUUUCGCCUGUUAAUGACACCGUUGACUUUGUCGUUGGAAGUGUUGCCCCUUUGAUCGUGUCUCCCGGCGAACGCCCUUUAACACCAGCCCCUGAGUUAUAGGAGCCCCGCUAUACAAUUUCUAAUUUUGACCGUGCGCGAACAACCAAUGAAUUUUGUGUUUUUCUUCAUUACACGACCAACAACAUCCCUUCUUGUCAUCCCCAAAAUUUUUAUUUAAUAUGCUUUGUUGCGGUCCUUCACUCACAGACAAGUGAUGCCUGUCUGUCGCUAGCGCGUGUGUAAUGGAUGGUUUCCUCCCACAUCGAUCACUACUUUUAUUUUUUGGGUGGUGCUUCAGGUUGGAAACUCAAAUGACAGUGUCAGUGAUAGACAAGGUGGGGGGGGGGGGUGAUCACUACGCGUCUUGCCCCUAUACUAUUACCACUUCCCCUCAUGCCACGAGGGAUCAACCCCGCCCCACGACCCUCACACGACCCGUNACAUGAUAAUGUCCGGGGAGGCUGGAGAGCAGUCAUCCCAUUUCACUCAAUACCCUCGCAGUCGUUAUACAGUAGAUCAGAAAACCUGGA
rnacentral:rRNA from 1 species